rnacentral:lncRNA from 1 species
GUGACUGCCACGGGCUCAGGACUGAACCUGGGUGUGUCCAGCUCAACGUUUCUCAGCCACUACGCUGUAUCCCCUCUUCUCUCUGUUGCCUUGGCCCCAGAGCUGCAGUCUGGGACACACACAUAAAGGAGCUGGAAACUUUCACAUCAGAAAGUGAUGCCUGGGGAGCUAAAGGCCUGGGGUCCUCAUCCCUGGUUCUUUCACCUACACUUCGUUAUUAUCACUGUUCAUUGUAUCAGGUAAUGUCCGUAACGCCAGUAAUCCUUUCUAUUCUUGGGCAAUUCACUGAGGCUCAGUUUCCUCAUAAAUAAAAUGGGGGAUGUGACCUUGGAAGGUCCUUCCUGUCUCCUUAAUUCUGAUAGUCUAAUAAAAGUAAUAAUUCACAUUUGCAAAGCAUGUUAUAGAUUCCCAAAGCAUCAUUACAUUUCUUGUUUGGUUUAAUCUUUCCACAAUCUGAUGAGAUGGAAAUCAUUACCCCCAAAUUUCAGACGUAGCAACUGAGGCCCAAAGAGACCUUAGGCAAUUGCUCAAGUCAUACAAUGUUUUUGGAAUUUUUUGUUUUUUCCAGGAAAAGAUUUGCUGUGAGCUAACAUCUGUCACUAAUCUUCCUCUUUUUCUUUUUUCCUCCCCAAAGCCCAGUACAUGUUUGUAUAUUCUAGUUGUAAGUCGCUCUGGUUCUUCUGUGUGAGCUGCUGCCACCGCAUGGCACCUGACAGGUGGGUGGUGUGGUUCCGCGACCGGGAAGCGAACCCAGGCAGCCAAAGCGGUGAGCACCAAACUUUAACCACUAGGCCAUCACGGCUGGCUCCAGACAAUGUUUUACCGGUAGGCUCGGAACUAGAAUUUGGGUUUCCUGACUCCUGAGUGUGACGGUCUUUCUACUAGACUGGGUUGGAAAUUAAAAAAGAGAAGACCCAAUUUGAAAGGCUGGCGUUGAGAACUGACCUGUCUGGUUUGGACCUCCUUUUAUUCUGUCCCGUGGGGAUUGGUGGGUUUAUCCCAUGGGGAUGGGAAAAAAGAAUUAACACUUAGCUUUCCUUUCUAGGACUGCCCUGCCUCCUUUCUUCCCUACUCUGCCCUGCUUCAACAUCUCCAAAUCUUCUGUAGAAGAAGGGCGUGGCCACGAGGUUCCUUGCAUUUUACUCUAAGAUGCCUCUGUGGGUGAGAUCCAGCCUGGCACAGUGGUGGGGCACAGACUGCCUGGAUUUGAAUCCUGGGUCUGCUGCUUACCAAAUAUGAGACCUGAAAAGAGUUACUACACUUUUCUCUGCCUCUCUCCCUUUAAUGGGGAUAAUCGUGGUGCCCAUAUAAUAAGAUUAUAAGAAGGAUUAAAUGAAUUAAUUAUAAGAGCUUGUAUUAGUCAAGACAUAUGCUUUAAUAACAAAAAACCCCCCAAAUCUCAGUGGCUUAACCCAACCAAGGUUUAUUUUUCACUCAAGCAGAAUCUUGAUGGGGUUGGGGUAACUCUCCAGAGCCCUCCAUGUGGGACUCAGUGAUCCAGAUUCCCUUCAUCUUGUGAAGCAUCUCAACAUGUGACUCCCAGAGUCUCUCAAAUAGCUCAUAGUGAAAGUGACGUCAUUAUCCUCCCUCAGCCAAUUGGCCAGAAUUAGUCACAUGGGCCCAAUAUAAUUACAGAGGAGUCUGGGAGACACAGGAACUAUUUGGUGAACCCCACUGUCUUCCAGGCCAACAAGAAGCCGUUUAGCAGGGACAGCAGGAGUGAUAAACCCUAUCAAUAUCUGGGAAAGCUGGAGGUCACUUUUCUCCCCACCCCAGCUACUUCGGUAGCCACCUCCUUGGUUCCCUUGGAUGAUCUUCCAGUUCUUUCAAAAUCUCACCCUGGGAUGCUUAUGGGAUCCACGGUUCAGCUUCCCCAGGGCUUUGAUUGUCUUCCUGUUGUCACAUGCCUGAGUUGUUGGAAAGAUGUUGCCACUGACAUUUCCUCUAGGCCUAAUGCAAGACACCAUAUGUUUUUAAAUCCACAGUCUCUGACACAUGGAACUUUGCCUUUUGAAGACAAACAAGCCACACCAAUAGCAAGCAACAACCCGGGGGGAUGGCUAACAGAGGUCUUAUUCAGGGAGGUACUCCAGCCCGGUGUUGGUGAAGAGCCAGGGGUGCUGACCUUUCCUACAGGGACCCACAGGCGUGCCUGGACUCUUUGCCCUCCUCUCGCUUGCGGCGUACACCACUGUUUCUGGGAACGUUCUCCGCUUGACUAAUUCUCCAAUAAUCCUCAUGCCAGUGUGAAAAUCCCACAGUCUCCUUAACCUGCUUCAGGAACUGCUAAGCAAUGCUCGGCUUUGGACCGGUUGAGCUGGGCUUGUGAGCAUCAACGUGAACGGCUUCUUGGGGAAUUACGGCUUGUGUAGGGAACAAGGCUGCUUCUUCAGAUCCAGCCAGCCAUCUGGAGUACGCUCCUCAGAGACAAGAACCUGCUGGAGCUGAGAGGUGGAAUACAGCAUAAACCCUGGGGAAGCUGUGCCCAUCUUUCCAGUCCAGGGCUCAAUAUAUUCAAGUUGGUCCUUCUUUGUUUGCUUCCAUCUUCAAGUGGGAUAGUCUCAACCAGGGAAAGCCAUUCCUCUUCCUUGAUUAUCAUCCUUGGAGUAGUGCCCUGGCGCUAUCUGCCCUCACAGUUGCCUGGAGAAGUGAGAGGACCCAGAGGAGUAAGAUGGACCAAAGACUUUUCAAUUUCUGUUGGGGAAGAGGCUAGGAAUUGGGGAUGGUGGCCAAAGAGGGCCUAACUUUAUCAACAAAGUUCUGAUUAUUUAACCAGGAGAAUGUAUUUGUGUGUUAUUAAUGUAAUUAAAAAUUAAGCAAAGAAAUAAGGUGAACACUCUACGUCUUAGACACUAACAUAAAUGGAUGUACUGGAUACAGUAAAAUGCAUCGAACUGAACUAAACCCAAAAGACAAUAAAAACUUUGGUGACUUAUAAGA